rnacentral:rRNA from 1 species
GAGUUUGAUCCUGGCUCAGGAUGAACGCUGGCGGCGUGCCUAAUACAUGCAAGUCGAGCGAACCACUUCGGUGGUGAGCGGCGAACGGGUGAGUAACACGUAGGUGAUCUGCCCAUCAGACGGGGACAACGAUUGGAAACGAUCGCUAAUACCGGAUAGGACGAAAGUUUAAAGGUGCUUCUGGCACCGCUGAUGGAUGAGCCUGCGGCGCAUUAGCUAGUUGGUAGGGUAAAGGCCUACCAAGGCGACGAUGCGUAGCCGACCUGAGAGGGUGAACGGCCACACUGGGACUGAGACACGGCCCAGACUCCUACGGGAGGCAGCAGUAGGGAAUCUUCGGCAAUGGGCGAAAGCCUGACCGAGCAACGCCGCGUGAAUGAUGAA